GCCGCUAAUCAAACUUGGAAAUAGCUGGUUCUCCCCGAAAUGUAUUGACGUACAGCGUCGUGCAGCACUGCUGGAGGUAGAGCACUGACAGGGCUAGGGGGCUUCACCGCCUACCAAACCCUAUCAAACUCCGAAUGCCAGCAAGUGACGCACGGCAGUGAGGCUGCGGGUGAUAAGAUUCGUAGCCGAGAGGGAAAAAGCCCAGACUACCGGCUAAGGUCCCCAAGUCCAUGCUAAGUGGUCGAGGAUGUAGGGCAACCCAGACAACCAGGAGGUUGGCUUAGAAGCAGCCAUCCUUUAAAGAAAGCGUAAUAGCUCACUGGUCGAGUUGCCCCGCGCCGUAAAUAUAACGGGGCUAAAGCAUGGCACCGAAGCCGUGGACUCAGAAAUGAGUGGUAGGGGAGCGUUCCCAUUGCAUCGAAGCAGGAGCGCGAGCGACUGUGGAGCGAUGGGAAGUGAGAAUGCUGGCGUGAGUAGCGAUAAGACGGGUGAAAAACCCGUCCGCCGGAAGCCCAAGGUUUCCUGUCCAAGGAUCAUCCGGGCAGGGUAAGUCGGCCCCUAAGGCGUAGCCGAAAGGCGGAGCUGAUGGGAAUCAGGUUAAUAUUCCUGAACCAUAGGCCAGGAGCAGUGCGGGGACGGAGAAAGGUAGGUCAGCCUGUCAUUGGAUUCAGGUUCAAGCCCGUAGACGGGUCGCGUAGGAACAAAACGCGCGAUCAACGUCGAGAGGUGAUGACGAAGGCCUUCGGGCCGAAGUGAUUGAUCCUAAGCUUCCAAGAAAAGCCGCGUUCUGCGUUGAAUGGUUUGUGACCGUACCGCAAUCCGACUCAGGUGGGCAGGUGGAGAACACCAAGGCGUUCGAGAGAACCCCGGUUAAGGAACUAGGCAAAUUGACACCGUAACUUCGGGAUAAGGUGUGCCAUCGCACCGUGAAGGGACUUGCUCCUGGAGCGGGGGGUGGUUGCAACAAAGCGGCGGUAGCGACUGUUUACUAAAAACACAGGGCUCUGCGAAACCGGAAGGUGACGUAUAGGGCCUGACGCCUGCCCGGUGCCGGAAGGUUAAGAGGAGUCGUCAGAGCAAUCGAAGCGACGAAUUGAAGCCCCGGUAAACGGCGGCCGUAACAAUAACGGUCCUAAGGUAGCGAAAUUCCUUGUCGGGUAAGUUCCGACCUGCACGAGGGCGUAACGACUUCCGCGCUGUCUCGACCGGGGACUCGGCGAAAUCGACAUGGGGGUGAAGAUGCCCUCUACCCGCGGCAAGACGGAAAGACCCUGUGAACCUUUACUGUAGCCUGGCAGUGGUAUUCGGUUCAUUCUGUCU
rnacentral:rRNA from 1 species